rnacentral:pre_miRNA from 1 species
UGGGGCGUGAACCUGGCAUACAAUGUAGAUUUCUGUGUUUGUUGGGCAACAGCUACAUUGUCUGCUGGGUUUCAGGCUACCUGG